AGAGUUUGAUUCCUGGCUCAGAGUGAACGCUGGCGGCAGGCCUAACACAUGCAAGUCGAACGGCAGCACAGCAGUAGCAAUACUGUGGGUGGCGAGUGGCGGACGGGUGAGGAAUACAUCGGAAUCUACCUUGUCGUGGGGGAUAACGUAGGGAAACUUACGCUAAUACCGCAUACGACCUACGGGUGAAAGCGGAGGACCGCAAGGCUUCGCGCGAUAAGAUGAGCCGAUGUCGGAUUAGCUAGUUGGCGGGGUAAUGGCCCACCAAGGCGACGAUCCGUAGCUGGUCUGAGAGGAUGAUCAGCCACACUGGAACUGAGACACGGUCCAGACUCCUACGGGAGGCAGCAGUGGGGAAUAUUGGACAAUGGGCGCAAGCCUGAUCCAGCCAUGCCGCGUGGGUGAAGAAGGCCUUCGGGUUGUAAAGCCCUUUUGUUGGGAAAGAAAUCCUAUCGGUUAAUAACCGG
rnacentral:rRNA from 1 species